UAGGGAAUCUUCCACAAUGGACGCAAGUCUGAUGGAGCAACGCCGCGUGAGUGAAGAAGGUUUUCGGAUCGUAAAGCUCUGUUGUUGGUGAAGAAGGAUAGAGGCAGUAACUGGUCUUUAUUUGACGGUAAUCAACCAGAAAGUCACGGCUAACUACGUGCCAGCAGCCGCGGUAAUACGUAGGUGGCAAGCGUUGUCCGGAUUUAUUGGGCGUAAAGCGAGCGCAGGCGGAAUGAUAAGUCUGAUGUGAAAGCCCACGGCUCAACCGUGGAACUGCAUCGGAAACUGUCAUUCUUGAGUGCAGAAGAGGAGAGUGGAAUUCCAUGUGUAGCGGUGGAAUGCGUAGAUAUAUGGAAGCACACCAGUGGCGAAGGCGGCUCUCUGGUCUGCAACUGACGCUGAGGCUCGAAAGCAUGGGUAGCGAACAGG
rnacentral:rRNA from 1 species